UACGGAGGGUGCGAGCGUUGUCCGGAAUCACUGGGCGUAAAGGGCGCUUAGGCGGCCUGAUAAGUAGGGGGUGAAAUCCUGCGGCUUAACCGCAGGGCUGCCUUCUAAACUGUCAGGCUAGAGCACAGUAGAGGCAGGUGGAAUUCCCGGUGUAGCGGUGGAAUGCGUAGAGAUCGGGAAGAACAUCAGUGGCGAAGGCGGCCUGCUGGGCUGUUGCUGACGCUGAUGCGCGAAAGCCAGGGGAGCGAACGGG
rnacentral:rRNA from 1 species